GUGUUUAAUUGGUAUUGUUUGUUAAACUGAGAUAUGAAUUGAGUUUGGAUUGAGGCUGUGAAUGUUGAUGGAAUUUCUAGUCAUGUUAAUUUCUUAGUUUGAUUGAUGAUUUGAGAUUUGUUUGAUAAUAGUAAGUACUGUUGCAAUGAUUUGGGAAUUGUUAAGAAAAUGAAGGAGCCCGUAAGGGUGGUAAAUUCGAAUGUUAAGGGAGGUCCUGUCCAAGUUUUUAUAAAGAUAUACAAAAAGGUGAUUUUGAUUUGAAAAUCUAACUUAUAAGCUUAUUUUGA